UACGGAGGGUGCAAGCGUUAUCCGGAUUCACUGGGUUUAAAGGGUGCGUAGGUGGGUUGCCAAGUCCGUGGUGAAAUCUCUGAGCUUAACUCAGAAACUGCCAUGGAUACUGGUAAUCUUGAAUGCCGUGGAGGUCAGCGGAAUAUGUCAUGUAGCGGUGAAAUGCUUAGAGAUGACAUAGAACACCGAUUGCGAAGGCAGCUGGCUACACGAAUAUUGACACUGAGGCACGAAAGCGUGGGGAUCAAACAGG
rnacentral:rRNA from 1 species